rnacentral:rRNA from 1 species
ACUGCGGAGAUCAUUACCGAGUGAGGGCCCUCUGGGUCCAACCUCCCACCCGUGUCUAUCGUACCUUGUUGCUUCGGCGGGCCCGCCGUUUCGACGGCCGCCGGGGAGGCCCUGCGCCCCCGGGCCCGCGCCCGCCGAAGACCCCAACAUGAACGCUGUUCUGAAAGUAUGCAGUCUGAGUUGAUUAUCGUAAUCAGUUAAAACUUUCAACAACGGAUCUCUUGGUUCCGGCAUCGAUGAAGAACGCAGCGAAAUGCGAUAAGUAAUGUGAAUUGCAUAAUUCAGUGAAUCAUCGAGUCUUUGAACGCACAUUGCGCCCCCUGGUAUUCCGGGGGGCAUGCCUGUCCGAGCGUCAUUGCUGCCCUCAAGCACGGCUUGUGUGUUGGGCCCCCGUCCCCCUCUCCCGGGGGACGGGCCCGAAAGGCAGCGGCGGCACCGCGUCCGGUCCUCGAGCGUAUGGGGCUUUGUCACCUGCUCUGUAGGCCCGGCCGGCGCCAGCCGACACCCAACUUUAUUUUUCUAAGGUUGACCUCGGAUCAGGUAGGGAUACCCGUUGAACUUAAGCAUAUCAA